GACGAACGCUGGCGGCGUGCUUAACACAUGCAAGUCGAACGGAAAGGCCCUGCUUUUGUGGGGUGCUCGAGUGGCGAACGGGUGAGUAACACGUGAGUAACCUGCCCUUGACUUUGGGAUAACUUCAGGAAACUGGGGCUAAUACCGGAUAGGAGCUCCUGCUGCAUGGUGGGGGUUGGAAAGUUUCGGCGGUUGGGGAUGGACUCGCGGCUUAUCAGCUUGUUGGUGGGGUAGUGGCUUACCAAGGCUUUGACGGGUAGCCGGCCUGAGAGGGUGACCGGCCACAUUGGGACUGAGAUACGGCCCAGACUCCUACGGGAGGCAGCAGUGGGGAAUAUUGCACAAUGGGCGGAAGCCUGAUGCAGCAACGCCGCGUGCGGGAUGACGGCCUUCGGGUUGUAAACCGCUUUCGCCUGUGACGAAGCGUGAGUGACGGUAAUGGGUAAAGAAGCACCGGCUAACUACGUGCCAGCAGCCGCGGUGAUACGUAGGGUGCGAGCGUUGUCCGGAUUUAUUGGGCGUAAAGGGCUCGUAGGUGGUUGAUCGCGUCGGAAGUGUAAUCUUGGGGCUUAACCCUGAGCGUGCUUUCGAUACGGGUUGACUUGAGGAAGGUAGGGGAGAAUGAAAUUCCUGGUGGAGCGGUGGAAUGCGCAGAUAUCAGGAGGAACACCAGUGGCGAAGGCGGUUCUCUGGGCCUUUCCUGACGCUGAGGAGCGAAAGCGUGGGGAGCGAACAGGCUUAGAUACCCUGGUAGUCCACGCUGUAAACGGUGGGUACUAGGUGUGGGGUCCAUUCCACGGGUUCCGUGCCGUAGCUAACGCUUUAAGUACCCCGCCUGGGGAGUACGGCCGCAAGGCUAAAACUCAAAGGAAUUGACGGGGCCCCGCACAAGCGGCGGAGCAUGCGGAUUAAUUCGAUGCAACGCGUAGAACCUUACCUGGGUUUGACAUGGAUCGGGAGUGCUCAGAGAUGGGUGUGCCUCUUUUGGGGUCGGUUCACAGGUGGUGCAUGCCUGUCGUCAGCUCGUGUCGUGAGAUGUUGGGUUAAGUCCCGCAACGAGCGCAACCCUUGUUCACUGUUGCCAGCACGUUAUGGUGGGGACUCAGUGGAGACCGCCGGGGUCAACUCGGAGGAAGGUGGGGAUGACGUCAAGUCCUCAUGCCCCUUAUGUCCAGGGCUUCACGCAUGCUACAAUGGCUGGUACAGAGAGUGGCGAGCCUGUGAGGGUGAGCGAAUCUCGGAAAGCCGGUCUCAGUUCGGAUUGGGGUCUGCAACUCGACCUCAUGAAGUCGGAGUCGCUAGUAAUCGCAGAUCAGCAACGCUGCGGUGAAUACGUUCCCGGG
rnacentral:rRNA from 1 species